rnacentral:misc_RNA from 1 species
AUCAGAACAAAAAUGUAAUACAAAUUUCUAAAUGCAAAUGGAAAAAACCAACAAUUACAACAAUCACCAACAAACAAAUAAGAAUCAAAUCAAUUUCCGUUCCAAAAGCUUAAUCCAGAACAUAAACGGUCGAUGUUUAGCCAUGCAAAGUAAAUUUCAGUAACCAGCAGGAGUUGGUUUAGGCUCCGAAGUGUGGAAGAAGGGCCCAACAUAGUAUAACUUGAUCUUCUUGUCAUGGAGGAUACGGUAAGAAGAAAAGAGAGCACCAGUAAUGCCCUUGUUGACACCUGUAGGGAUAUUACAGGUUUCCAAUGGAGAUUUUUGGAGCUUAACUUUGCAGUUCCUGACCUUCAAAUUGUCUUCAAGCCCUAAAAGAGACAGUGUCUUGAAGAAGUAUCCCUUUGCAUCAGUUGCACUGGUCAGACAGGAGAAAGAUGUUGUCUCGUACCCAUUCUGAUCCAAAGCUGAACACGUUAUCCUUACCACAGCUCCUGUACUCACAAAGGAAAUGAA